GCAAUAAAGGCCAAAGUGGCGGCGCCGGUCUUGUAAACCGGAGAUUGAGAAUUUUCUCUUAUUGUU
rnacentral:tRNA from 1 species